CGGGUGGGAGCCCUCUCCCCGCUCCUCUUGAAAUGCAUCGGUGGUCGUCUGCUUCGCAGAUCCCAGCCCUGGCGUGAUAAUUAUCUACGUCGUGGUCAGGGGCUCGUGCCUUUCAGACACUGCCUCGAACAGUCGCUCUCACGCGACAACACUCUUGACAAUUUGACCUCAAAUCAGGUAGGAUUACCCGCUGAACUUAA
rnacentral:misc_RNA from 1 species